AUUGAACGCUGGCGGCAUGCCUUACACAUGCAAGUCGAACGGCAGCGGGGGAGAAGCUUGCUUUUCCUGCCGGCGAGUGGCGAACGGGUGUGUAAUACAUCGGAACGUGCCCUGUAGUGGGGGACAACUAGUCGAAAGAUUAGCUAAUACCGCAUACGACCUGAGGGUGAAAGUGGGGGACCGCAAGGCCUCAUGCUAUAGGAGCGGCCGAUGUUUGAUUAGCUGGUUGGUGGGGUAAAGGCCAACCAAGGCGACGAUCAGUAGCUGGUCUGAGAGGACGAUCAGCCACAAUGGGACUGAGACACGGCCCAGGCUCCUACGGGAGGCAGCAGUGGGGAAUUUUGGACAAUGGGCGAAAGCCUGAUCCAGCAAUGCCGCGUGUGUGAAGAAGGCCUUCGGGUUGUAAAGCACUUUUGUCCGGAAAGAAAUGGCUCUGGUUAAUACCUGGGGUCGAUGACGGUACCGGAAGAAUAAGGACCGGCUAACUACGUGCCAGCCGCCGCGGUAA
rnacentral:rRNA from 1 species